rnacentral:misc_RNA from 1 species
AUCCUAGGCGUGUCUAUGAUGCUGUUUUGUUUAGUAAUGAAGUGGACAUGCUUACUAUCAGAUGGAAGGAAUUGUAUCCUUACAUCACACAGUUUGUUCUGCUCGAGUCAAACUCCACGUUUACUGGAUUACCAAAACCAUUUACUUUUGCUAUUAACCGGGACCAAUUUAAGUUUGUUGAGCCUCGAUUGACUUAUGGAACCAUUGGAGGAAGAUUCAGGAAAGGUGAAAAUCCGUUUGUUGAAGAGGCAUAUCAGAGAGUAGCACUCGACCAGCUUUUGAGAAUAGCUGGAAUAGAGGAUGAUGAUUUGCUGAUAAUGUCCGAUGUUGAUGAAAUUCCUAGCAGGCACACCAUCGAUCUUUUAAGAUGGUGUGAUGACAUUCCUCCAAUUCUUCACCUUCAUUUUAGGAAUUACUUAUACUCUUUUGAAUUUGAGCUUAAGCACAGAAGUUGGAGAGCUUCAGUCCACAGGUAUCAGAGUGGCAAGACUCGAUACGUACACUAUCGUCAGACUGAUUACCUUUUGGCA